UCCAUAUAUUUGAGCAUCGCGCUCUUGUUUCUAUAUAAAUUUGAUAUCAACUGGGCGAGAUGUUAUGCAUAUAGUUCAAAACCAUGAUUCCUUAAUAAACGACCGUCCUGUUUUUUAUUCCUAAAUUUAUAUUAUGUAUCAACUCACCUCUUUCACCUAAUUUUAAGAUAAACUAUCUUAUCAGUUCUCAGUCACAAUGAAGAUAUUUCUUGCAUCGAUUCUGCUGUUGGUUGCUGUAUUGUGUAUGUUACUUGGUGGCACAUACGGAAGGAUCAUCCUAACAAUAGAAUGUCAAGAAGUCUGUGAACCCGACCAAUAUUGCGAUGCAUUAACGGGGCUAUGCGUUUAAGGGUGAUUGGGGAUGAAUUAACAGGAAGAAAAAUGAAUUCGACAAUAAAUUGCUAAAUACAAAUUAAUAAAAUAUUCUGCAGCAAUAACAUUCAUUCAUUUUGUAAGUUUUGUAUUUG